GAGAACUUCCUGUUGGGCAAAUCCUGACAACUGUCUUGGUGUGGGAGUGCAUAGGGAACUCCGACCCUCGCAGAACCCUGGGAUCUUCGUGGGUGGAGGGGAAGAGGAUAGAGGAGGGGAGGGAGGAGACGCUGAGACAGAGGCUUUCAUCUUGAGCCUGGUGGGGAGGCAUGUGGGAGAAGUUGCUGAGCGGUUGGAUCGGAGGGAGGAAGAGAAGGGCCAGAGCACUGGCUUCCUGUUCCAUCUUCCCCCUUGUUCUGCAGGUGGCCAUUUUCUCCUUCCAGAGCCGGAGGUGGAGAGACUUGGGGGCCUGCCCAGCUCCAGUCCUCUGUCCUCACUCUGCCCGUCUCCGCCCGUCCCCCAGCCAACCUUUGGAGAAGGUGCUGGGCUGCUAGGAUUUGGGAUUCUGGUGGAGGGGGAGGGGGAGGGGAUGUGCCCAUUUGUUCGGGUCUGACCCUGGAACAAAGGCUUUUGCCACGGAGAGUCUAGGUCUUAAUGCCCCCCAUUAGCCAGAGUUGGGGGGCCACCAACACAUUAACAACUAAAAACAGUCUUCACUAGAAUCCUUUUGCUGAGCCCCCUCGCCUCCCCCUGCCUGGUCGCAGGCUAAUUCCGGCCUGGGCUGCUGUGGACGGACUAUCCUGGCCGCUGAGCCUCCCAUUGUGUUCCUAAUGCUCAGUAACAAAGGCUGCUCGCCGGUAGCAACGGUCGCUAGGCGGGUCUUAUCUCCUGGGCUCCGGCCCCUUCCCCCACGGCAGAGUCUGAGGCCCAGACUGGGUCCCCUGAGUCUUUAGCAUGGGGCUCUUCCAAGACCCCGGAGGGUUAUCCACAGGGGAUGGCCCUGCUGGCACUUAUGGAGGGGAGAGCUUAUGGGAGACACGUCGGUGGCAGAGAACCUGUGACAGUCGUUCCCAGACGUUUUCUAAGACGUUGUCGUUCAUACAGACUCAUCCGACUAUGCUGUCAUUGUGCUAUUUACUUGUCUGUCGAUUGGAACAGUGGCAGAUCUUCAGCCCAGCUGUAUAUCGCACCCUAGCACCACCUGGGAGAUUACAAACACCAAGCUUCUACCCCACA
rnacentral:lncRNA from 1 species